rnacentral:lncRNA from 1 species
CCAGACAGGGCUGGAGGAGCAAUUGGAGGAGCCCAGCAGGCUGGACACAUGUGGAGAGUUGAUAUGGAAACUGAGCCCUCACACAUGGACUGAAUUCUGACAAGCAGAGGAUAAAGGCAGAACAACAUGACUGAAGGGAAGAUGCUUUUGUGAUAUAUCCCAGCAUGCUGAUGACCCCAAGGAGGACCACUGGAUACCUAGCAAGGAGCUGGCUGCAGCAUACCAUGAAUCCUCACAGCAACUUAAUGAGAUACUGGCCUCAGAACUGGGAGUAGCUUCUUGUUUGGACCAAUCCUUUGCCUCCUUCCAGUGUGCUCAUUGAGAUAUUGGAAACCAUGUCUAGAUUCUCAGCCUGAUUAGACCUCUAUUUUGAUACAUUCAUUCAACAUAUUUAUCAACUGCUUGCUAUGUGAAAAAUGCUAUCCUAAGUACUAGUCAUGGUCUGAUUGGACUCUGCAACUGAUAACUCAAGCGCUAUUGUGUAAGGAUACCAGAUUUAGAUGAGACUGUCAGCAGCCCUCUGGGUCCUCACUGCUCGCAGUGUCCACAGGCAGCAGCAGCAGAAUCUGGGAGUUUAUUAGAUAUGUAGGAUGGCAGAUCCACUGCAGGCCUCCUGAGUCAGAAUCUGUCCUUUAAGAAGAUCCCCAGGUAGUGCAUAUGUGCACUGAGGUUUGGGAAGCACCAGUCUAGUCCAUUCUCUCUGUCACUAGAAUAAACUGUCCUGGCCUUUUUCCUAAGCAGAUUUCUUUUCAGAUUGUUCCAAAAGAUAAUAUGGAAAAAAAAUCUCCCUUGACUCCAAUGAUUAUAUUGAUGGGUAUACAUUGAUUUUUAUUGCCAAGUUUCUAUUUUAUGGGAAAACUAUUCUCCAAAAAAAUCAAAACAAGAGACUCAAGGUUGUCUCACUCAGAGGCACUUAAAAAAUAAAUAAAUAACCUGGCCACCAGGCUUUCCACAAGGAAAAGGAACAAUUAAGCAUUAUACCAGAGGUCUGGUAUAAUGGUUUCUAUUUCAUACAAAACUAAAGGUAGUUUUUGUCUCUCGUUCUCUGUUUCUGCUCAAAUAUCCAUCCUGCUCUCUCUCUCUCUCUCUCUCUGCCCUCUCUCUCUCCUUGUCUUUGUGUGUGUAUGUGUGCAUGCAAAGAUGUGUGUUUGUACAACCAAAAACCUUGGAAAUUUGUGGUGUUUUUACUCCAGCAUCCUGACUUUAUUUAAAUCAAGAUGUAAAUAAAACUCUUUUGUUUUGAAGACCAAUAGGAAUUAAAUCCAAGAAGGAAGGCUUUGUAAAAUAUGGUGCAGGUCAACCACAAACAUUUCAAAGGGCACCACCAUUGAGACAACAUGGAAGUGGAGGAAACAAUUGAACAACAUUAGAGUCAAGUGAGAGUUGACUGUGAAGGGCAUGGGGAGUUUCACAGUGACUCCUGGGUUUUGAGCUUUUGUGAAGAUAACAAAAGAUGCCUCUUGAUUUUAAUUUUUCUAAUCAGCCUUCCCAAAUUUAUUAUGGAAAAUUACUUUAAG